ensembl:lncRNA
AAUGACUCUGAUUCUAUGAUUCUAAUUCUAUACACUGUACUGGAACCACAGAAUUAGAAUGACUCUGAUUCUAAGAUUCUAAUUCUAUACACUGUACUGGAACCACAGAAUUAGAAUGACUCUGAUUCUAUGAUUCUAAUUCUAUACACUGUACUGGAACCACAGAAUUAGAAUGACUCUGAUUCUAAGAUUCUAAUUCUAUACACUGUACUGGAACCACAGAAUUAGAAUGACUCUGAUUCUAUGAUUCUAAUUCUAUACACUGUACUGGGACAUUGGUAUGCGCUGUAUACUGUAGAAUCCCAGCAGCUGAUAACGGCAUUGAUCAGGUCCAACAAGGGAUGAUAUGUUACAAGAACACUGGACAUUUUCACACUGUAUCUCUGUAUCACUGUAUCUUGCCCAAUGGAUUUAAUAAUGCUUAACCACUAGCCAAAUACGAUGUGUGUUUAAGAAGUACUUUCUUAGCUAUAUAUUUUCUGUUUUAUUUUGUUUGAAUGGUAGAAGAUCAGAGACGACUUUCUGCUCUGGAUCGUGAUGUUGAUAGUCUCUCCAGACAUGUUGAUAGUCUCUCCCGUAGUCUCUCCAGACAUCUGCUUUGCCUCCCACAAUUUUCAAAUGCUCCAACUUAGGGUCUGGUUUUCAAGACUAGACAACACAAGUAUUGACAUCUGAACAGCGUUUUUUUUAAACCCCUGGUGCCUUAUCUUUCUCUAUAAAACAGGAAGGCUGUCAUCUUAUCACCAGACAGAAGCAGCUCAUGGACUUGAUUGAAUGCUGUUCAUGUCUGAGCUAAUAGAGGCAUCCAUUUUGUGACCUGGGACUUGUAUAACCGAACAAGAAAGAAAGGGUUACCAGAGGUCACUCUAACACCUUCCUGAAUGAGUCCAGAGAUCACUCUAACAUUCUCCUGAAUGAGUCCAGAGGUCACUCUAACAUUCUCCUGAAUGAGUCCAGAGAUCACUCUAACACCUUCCUGAAUGAGUCCAGAGAUCACUCUAACAUUCUCCUGAAUGAGUCCAGAGGUCACUCUAACAUUCUCCUGAAUGAGUCCAGAGGUCACUCUAACAUUCUCCUGAAUGAGUCCAGAGGUCACUCUAACAUUCUCCUGAAUGAGUCCAGAGAUCACUCUAACACCUUCCUGAAUGAGUCCAGAGAUCACUCUAACAUUCUCCUGAAUGAGUCCAGAGGUCACUCUAACAUUCUCCUGAAUGAGUCCAGAGGUCACUCUAACAUUCUCCUGAAUGAGUCCAGAGAUCACUCUAACAUUCUCCUGAAUGAGUCCAGAGAUCACUCUUACAUUCUCCUGAAUGAGUCCAGAGAUCACUCUAACAUUCUCCUGAAUGAGUCCAGAGAUCACUCUAACAUUCUCCUGAAUGAGUACAGAGGUCACUAUAACAUUCUCCUGAAUGAGUCCAGAGGUCACUCUAACAUUCUCCUGAAUGAGUCCAGAGGUCACUCUAACAUUCUCUGAAUGAGUCCAGAGGUCACGCUAACAUUCUCCUGAAUGAGUCCAGAGGUCACUCUAACAUUCUCCUGAAUGAGUCCAGAGGUCACUAACACCUUCCUGAAUGAGUCCAGAGGUCACUAACAUUCUCCUGAAUGAGUCCAGAGGUCACUCUAACAUUCUCUGAAUGAGUCCAGAGGUCACUAACAUUCUCCUGAUUGAGUCCAGAGGUCACUAACAUUCUCCUGAAUGAGUCCAGAGGUCACUCUACCACCUUCCUGAAUGAGUCCAGAGGUCACUAACACCUUCCUGAAAGAGUCCAGAGAUCACUAACACCUUCCUGAAUGAGUCCAGAGGUCACUAACACCUUCCUGAAUGAGUCCAGGGGUCACUAACACCUUACUGAAUGAGUCCAGAGGUCACUAACACCUUCCUGAAUGAGUCCAGAGAUCACUAACACCUUCCUGAAUGAGUCCAGAGGUCACUAACACCUUCCUGAAUGAGUCCAGGGGUCACUAACACCUUACUGAAUGAGUCCAGAGGUCACUAACACCUUCCUGAAUGAGUCCAGAGGUCACUAACAUUGAUUGCUCUAAAUCUGUGUAACACUUUUUGUCUUCCCCUCUCUGACGGGAAACAACACCCUGUCCCCGAAGUCAUGUUUAUACCUCCUCUGGAAAUAGUUUUUCAUAUGUCCUCUGUUAUUGUCUUUCCCUUUACUCACUGACCACUCCCCUCUUUGAUAUACUAUUGGCCAUGUUCCUCAUAUGUCGGAACUAUACACUACUUAUUAUAUACAUGUGUGAUGAAGGACCCUUUGGACAUCUGGUAUCUGAAUGGUAUCAAGUUAACAAAGUAUUCUGAUUCUGUGAUCAGGUGUGUUGAAACAGGUGUGUUGAAACACAGUCCCUCUAAGGUGUGUUGAAGAUCUCACCUGACCUGUUGUGUCAUGAGAAAUAUAAAUUUUAAAAAACAUAAUCAAAUGAAUAUACUUCAUUGAACAUGACAAAAUAUAAAGACAUUGUACUAUACUGUAUUACCAAUAUGAUGUUGACAUACAUGAGUACAGUGUAAUAUUUUAGCUUAUUUAUAAUGCACCAGCCAGCCUUUACAGUAAAACCAGCAUAGCAUUGUAUAUAUCAACUGAUUUAUGCUCUCUUGGGUGGUUGCAUCUGGUUCCAACUGGUUUCAACUGGUUUCAAAUGGUUCCAACUGGUUUCAACUGGUUCCAACUGGCUCCAUCUGGUUCCAACUGGUUCCACAUGGUUUCAACUGGUUCCAACUGGUUUCAACUGGUUCCAAAUGGUUCCAACUGGUUCCACAUGGUUUCAACUGGUUCCAACUGGUUUCAACUGGUUCCAAAUGGUUCCAACUUGUUCCACGUGGUUUCAACUGGUUUCAACUGGUUCCAAAUGGUUCCAACUAGUUCCAAAUGGUUCCAACUGGUUCCACGUGGUUUCAACUGGUUCCAACUGGUUCCAACUUGUUCCACGUGGUUUCAACUGGUUCCACGUGGUUUCAACUGGUUCCAAAUGGUUCCAACUAGUUCCAAAUGGUUCCAACUGGUUCCACGUGGUUUCAACUGGUUCCAACUGGUUCCACGUGGUUUCAACUGGUUCCAACUGGUUCCACGUGGUUUCAACUGGUUCCAACUGGUUUCAAAUGGUUCCAACUGGUUCCAAAUGGUUCCAACUGGUUCCAAGUGGUUCCAACUGGUUUUAAAUGGUAUAGAAAUUCAUCAACUGUUCCUGUGUAGCUUCAUUUUGUAACAAUGUAUGUUCCUUUUUAUGUUAUUUUAGUUAUAUCAUUAUACUGUUGACUGUUGUUACUCUAUCCUUGUUGUUGUUGUUGUUAUAUUAUUCAUAUGUAAACAUUGUUAUGCUAUAUUAUGAAACUCUGUGCCAAUCAAAAUCGCUAUUCGGCUUUUACCUGUCUCACUGGAUAAGAAAACACACACAGAGAGAGAAAGAGAGAGAGAGAGUAGAGAAUUGAAGGAGUUUGUCUGGUGGGAGUCCGUGAUGUCAUCGGGCUCCAUCUUGCUUGAGGAACUGCAGAGACCUAAGGAGGAAAGGCCAUCCUGUGUCACACCCUGUCACACCUGGACUACCGAUUGAGAUGUGGCUUUUGUUAAGGAAAUCAGGUGUUAAAUGACACUUUAAAUCUUUACUUCAUUUUUUAAAAUACGUUUAUCUUAUUACUCUAAUUCUUAUGGCUUAAAGCCCUUCAGAGCACUAAAAUACUUAAUGAAAGCAUAAAUACCCCUCCUUCAUUCACCUCUAUACUAUUCCUGUUCCUGCUUUUAAAGUCCUCCCUAUAAAUGUGUGAUUUUUAGUCUUACCUCUUACUUUAUUUUUAAUACACGAUCAUUACAUUUAUUUUGGAACCUUUGCUGUUUUGUAUUUUUGUGUUAAAGAGCAUGUUGCCAUAAUAUGAAUGCAGU